GACGAACUGUCCUAACGUUGUUCGGAAUCACUGGGCUUAAAGGGCGCGUAGGCGGUCCGACAAGUCAGGGGUGAAAUCCUGCAGCUUAACUGCAGAAGUGCCUUUGAUACUGUCGGUCUUGAGGGAAAUAGGGGUGUGCGGAACUUCCAGUGGAGCGGUGAAAUGCGUUGAUAUUGGAAGGAACGCCGGAGGCGAAAGCGGCGCACUGGAUUUCUUCUGACGCUGAGGCGCGAAAGCUAGGGGAGCAAACGGG
rnacentral:rRNA from 1 species